GAUGAACGCUGGCGGCGUGCCUAAUACAUGCAAGUCGAGCGAACGGACGAGAAGCUUGCUUCUCUGAUGUUAGCGGCGGACGGGUGAGUAACACGUGGAUAACCUACCUAUAAGACUGGGAUAACUUCGGGAAACCGGAGCUAAUACCGGAUAAUAUUUUGAACCGCAUGGUUCAAAAGUAAAAGACGGUCUUGCUGUCACUUAUAGAUGGAUCCGCGCUGCAUUAGCUAGUUGGUAAGGUAACGGCUUACCAAGGCAACGAUGCAUAGCCGACCUGAGAGAGUGAUCGGCCACACUGGAACUGAGACACGGUCCAGACUCCUACGGGAGGCAGCAGUAGGGAAUCUUCCGCAAUGGGCGAAAGCCUGACGGAGCAACGCCGCGUGAGUGAUGAAGGUCUUCGGAUCGUAAAACUCUGUUAUUAGGGAAGAACAUAUGUGUAAGUAACUGUGCACAUCUUGACGGUACCUAAUCAGAAAGCCACGGCUAACUACGUG
rnacentral:rRNA from 1 species